rnacentral:rRNA from 1 species
UACGUAGGCAGCAAGCGUUGUUCGGAAUUACUGGGCGUAAAGGGUGCGUAGGUGGCGUCGUAAGUCGGGUGUGAAAUCUCGGGGCUUAACUCCGAAACUGCAUUCGAUACUGCGGUGCUUGAGGACUGGAGAGGAGACUGGAAUUUACGGUGUAGCAGUGAAAUGCGUAGAGAUCGUAAGGAAGGCCAGUGGCGAAGGCGGGUCUCUGGACAGUUCCUGACACUGAGGCACGAAGGCCAGGGGAGCAAACGGG